rnacentral:rRNA from 1 species
GAUACCCUAUUAUUUUAAAAGAAAUUUAUUAAGCCUAAUUAGUAGUAGUUAAGAUCUUGAAAAUUAAAGAAUUUGGCGGUAUUUUAGUCUAUUCAGAGGAAUCUGUCCUAUAAUUGAUGAUCCACGAUUUUUGUUACCUGUUUUUUAUAAUUUACAUAUCGUCGUAGUUUGAAUAUUUUUAGAAAAUAAUAAUAUUCAUAAAUUAUUUUUAUAAAAAAAAUCAGAUCAAGGUGUAGUUUAUAGAUAGGUUGAGAUGGAUUACAGUAAAAAUAUUUAUUAUGGAAUAAUAAUUGAAAAAUUUUUAUGAAAGUGGAUUUGAUAGUAAUUUUAUUUA